GCGGGGGUGGCCGAGCCUGGUCAAAGGCGGCGGACUCAAGAUCCGCUGGGCGUAGGCCCGCGUGGGUUCAAAUCCCACCCCCCGCACCA
rnacentral:tRNA from 1 species